UGCUUACGUGGUUGGAACAUGGGCACUGAC
rnacentral:piRNA from 1 species